CACUGAGAAGCUACAUUCAGCACUAGCCUUUUAAGCUAGAGAGGGGAAACAGUUUCCCUCAGUGA